AGGCCAGUAGCUCAAUUAGGCAGAGCGUCUGUCUCCAAAACAGAAGGUUCCGAGUUCGAUUCUUGGCUGGCCUG
rnacentral:tRNA from 1 species